rnacentral:rRNA from 1 species
UACGUAGGGGGCAAGCGUUGUCCGGAUUUAUUGGGCGUAAAGAGCGUGUAGGCGGUCAGGUAGGUCCGUUGUGAAAACUCGAGGCUCAACCUCGAGACGCCGAUGGAAACCAUCUGACUAGAGUCCGGAAGAGGAGAGUGGAAUUCCUGGUGUAGCGGUGAAAUGCGCAGAUAUCAGGAAGAACACCCGUGGCUAAGGCGGCUCUCUGGUACGGUACUGACGCUGAGACGCGAAAGCGUGGGGAGCAAACAGG